rnacentral:lncRNA from 1 species
AUAACCAGACCAAGAUAGCCUCACCUUAAAUACCUAACUUUGAUGGAAUCAAAACCAAUUUUGUAUCUCCUGACACAGGGUGAGGCAGAAAACAAGGUCCAAGUCUACGUAACAAAAUAAAACUAUAAUAGAGAGCAAAGAUAACCAAGGAUCAAACCAGAACAGUCUUCCACAGAAGCCUGAUUAAGAAACACACAACGAUCCGGCAUCUGGAAAUUGAAAAGAAUAACGAUAAGCAAGGGAAAGUUUAGGUAGAAUAUAAAAUUUAGUAAAAAAGUUACAAUACUAUACUCCCUAUGCAACCCUUGAUAAACACUAUAUCAAUGACAGCGUCAAAGGUUGCUCCGUGUCCAACAAUCAGACCAAGAUUGCACCACCAUAAGCUCCUACUUUGAUAGAAUCAAAACUUAAUUUAUAUUUUGUGUCAUAGGGUGAUGCAGAAAACAAUAUCCACGCCAACGUAACAAACAAAAAACUGAUGAAAGAGAAAAAAGAUAACAAAGCAUCAAACCGAACAGCCUUCCAAUUAAGAACCACAACGAUCAGAAAUCUGAAAAUUGAAGAGUAUAACGACAAGCACCGGAAACUCUAGGUAGAAGAGAAAAUAUAGUAGAAGAAAAUGUAGUAUAACAAUCUGCAUCCCUCAAUAAACAUUAUAUCAAUUGACAUCUUAUAUUAGUCCGCAUCCAACAACCCCACCAAGUUGGCCCCCACCUUAAGCUCCCACUUUGAUAGAAUAAAACUGAAUUUGUAUCUCCUGUCACAGGGUGAGGGCGAAAAAAAUAUCAAAGUCUACGUAACAAAAAAAAAAAAACUAUAAUAGAGAACACAGACAACCAAGCGUCAAACAAGAACUGCCUUUCAGAGAAGCUUGAUUAAGAACAAAACAGCAACCAAAGAUUUGUCCAUGUCCAAAAACCAGACCAAGAUAGCCCCCACCUUAAGCUCCUACUUUGAUAGAAUCAAAACCUAUUUUGUAUCUCCUGUCACAGGGUGAGGCUGAAAACAACAUCCAAGUCUACAUAACAGCAAAAGAACUAUAAUUGAGAGAGCAAAGAUAACCAAUUAUCAAACCCGAACUGCCUUCCAGUUAAACUUGAUUAAGAACCACAUAAUGAACAGGCAUCUGGAAAUGGAAGAGAGACUAACAAUAACCACAGGAAAGUCUAGAUGGAAGAUAAAUUGUAGUAGAAAAAAAUACUAUAUUAUACUCCCUCUGCCAUCCUCGAUAAACACUAUAAUUGACAGCGUCAAAGGUUGAUCUGUGGCCAAUAUAACUAAACCAAGAUUAGCCCCACCUUGAGCUCCUACUUUGAUAAAAUCAAAACAAAAUUUUUAUCAUCUGCCAUAGGAUGAGGCAGAAAUACAAUAUACACGUAUACGUAACAAACAAAAAAACUGAUGAUAGAGAGAAAAGAUAAACCCAGCAUCAAACCAGAAGUGCCUUCAAGUAAAGAACACCUGGAAAUUGAAGAGUAUAACGAUAAGUAUAGGAAACUCAAGGUAAAAGAGAAAACGUAAAAAAAAAAAAAAUAACUAUACUGUACACCAUCUGCCACCCUCGACAAACACUAUAUCAAUGAUGGCAUCAUAGAUUAGUCCAUAUCCAAAAACCAGACCAAGAUAACCCCCACCUUAAGCUUCAACUUUGAUAGAAUCAAAACCUAUUUUGUCUCCUGGCACAGGGUGAGGACCAAAACAUUGUCCAAGUCUACAUAACAAAUAAACAAUAAUUACAGAGCAAAGGUGACCAAUUAGCAAACCAGAACAGCCUUCCCGUGAAGCUUGAUUAAAAACCACACAGCGAUCAGGCAUCUGGAAAUUGAUGAGAACAACGGUAAGCAUGGGAAAGUCUAGGUAGAAGAUAAAAGAUAGUAAAAAAAAAAAAAACUAUUCUAUACUCUCUUUGCCAGGCCCACACCACUAUAUCAAUGACAGCAUCAAAGGUAGAUCCGUGUUCAAUAACCAGGCCAACAUUAGCCACACCAUAAGCUCCUUCUUUCAAAACUUAAUUUUUAUCUCCUAUCAUAGGGUGAGGCAGAGAACAAUAUCCACGUCUACAUAACAACAAAAAAUUGUUGAAACUGACAAAAGAUAACCAAGAAAACAAGAAGUGCCAUCCAUUAUGGAAAUUGAAGAGUAUAACUAUAAACACGGGAAACUCUAGGUAGAAGAGAAAAUGUAGUAGAAAAAAAAAAUACUAUUAUGUAUUUCCUUUGCGACCCUCGAUUUACAAUAUACCAAUGAUAACAUCAAAGAUCUGUCCGCGUCCAAAAACCAGACCAAGAUAGCCCCCACAUUAAGCUCCUACAGUGAUGGAAUCAAAACCUAUUUUGUAUCUCCUGUCACAGGGUAGGCCCAAAACAAUAUCCAAGUCUAUAUAACAACAAAAGAAAUAUAAUAGAGAGAUCAAAUGCAACCAAUUAUGAACCCAGAACUGCCUUCCAGUUAAGCUUGAUUAAGAACCACACAACGAUCAGGCAUCUGGAAAUUGAAGAGAAUAACAAUAAGCACGGGAAAGUCAAGAUGGAAGAUAAAUUGUAGCAGAAUUAAUACAAUACUAUACUCCCUCUGACACCCUCGAUAAACAUUAUAUCAGUGACAGCAUCAAAAGUUGAUAUGUCUCCAAUAACUAGACCAAGAUUAGCCCCACCAUAAGCUGCUUCUUUCACAACUUAAUUUUUAACCCCUGUCACAAGGUGAGGCAGAAAACAAUAUCCACGUCUACGUAACAAAUAAAAGAUUGUUGAAACUGACAAAAGAUAACCAAGCAUACCAGAAGUGCCUUCCAGUUAAGAACCACACAACAAUCAGACAUCUGGAAAUUGAAGAGUAUAACUAUUAGCACGGGAAACUCUAGGUAGAAGAGAAAAUGUAGUAGAAAAAAAAUACUAUUAUGUACUCCAUGUACUCCCUUUACCACCCACAUUAAACUAUAUCAAUGACAGCAUGAAGGAUUUGUCAGUGUACCAAAAACCAGACCAAGACACGCCCCCACCUUAAGCUCCUACUUUGAUAGAAUCAGAACCUAUUUUGUAUCUCCUAUCACAGGGUGAGGCUGAAACCAACAUCGAGUCUAAAUAACAACAAAAGAACUACAAUAGAGAGAGCAAAGGUAACCAACUAUCAAACCCGAACUGCCGUCCAGUAAGCUUGAUUAAGAACCACACAACGAUCGGGCAUCUGGAAAUGGAAGAGAAUAACGAUAAGCACCGGAAGGUCUAGAUGGAAGAUAAAUUGUAUUAGAAGAAAUACUAUACUAACUCCCUCUGCCACCCUCGAAAAACAUAUCAUGACCAUCAAAGGAUUGAUUGUGUGCAAUAACUGACUAAGAUUAGCCCUACCUUAAGCCCUACUUUGAUAAAAUUAAAACUUAAUUUUUAUCUCAUGUCAUAGGGUGGGGCAGAAAACAAUAUCACGUCUAUGUACAAACAAAAAUUGUUGAAAUGACAAAAGAUAACCAAACAUCAAACCAGAAGUGUCAUCCAGUUAAGAACCACCCCACGAUCAGACAUCUGGAAAUUGAAGAGUAUAUCUAUAAGCACGGGAAACUCUAGGUAGAAGAGAAAAUGUAUAGAAAUAAAAAUACUAUUAUGUACUCCCUUUGCCACCCUCGAUUAACACAAUAUCAAUGACUCAUCAAAGAUCUGUCCGCGUCCAAAAACCAGACCAAGAUAGCCCCCACAUUAAGCUCCUACAGUGAUGGAAUCAAAACCUAUUUUGUAUCUCCUGUCACAGGGUAGGCCCAAAACAAUAUCCAAGUCUAUAUAACAACAAAAGAAUAUAAUAGAGAGAUCAAAUGCAACCAAUUAUGAACCCAGAACUGCCUUCCAGUUAAGCUUGAUUAAGAACCAAACAACGAUCAGGCAUCUGGAAAUCGAAGAGAAUAACAAUAAGCACGGGAAAGUCAAGAUGGAAGAUAAAUUGUAGCAGAAUUAAUACAAUACUAUACUCCCUCUGACACCCUCGAUAAACAUUAUAUCAGUGACAGCAUCAAAAGUUGAUGUCUCCAGUAACUAGACCAAGAUUAGCCCCACCAUAAGCUGCUUCUUUCACAACUUAAUUUUUAACUCCUGUCACAAGGUGAGGCAGAAAACAAUAUCCACGUCUACGUAACAAAUAAAAGAUUGUUGAAACUGACAAAAGAUAACCAAGCAUACCAGAAGUGCCUUCCAGUUAAGAACCACACAACAAUCAGACAUCUGGAAAUUGAAGAGUAUAACUAUUAGCACGGGAAACUCUAGGUAGAAGAGAAAAUGUAGGUAGAAAAAAAAUACUAUUAGUACUCCCUUUACCACCCACUAUUAACACUAUAUCAAUGACAGCAUGAAGGAUUUGUCAGUGUCCAAAAACCAGACCAAGACAGCCCCCACCUUAAGCUCCUACUUGAUAGAAUCAGAACCUAUUUUGUAUCUCCUAUCACAGGGUGAGGCUGAAACCAACAUCCGAGUCUAAAUAACAACAAAAGAACUACAAUAGAGAGAGCAAAGGUAACCAACUAUCAAACCCGAACUGCCGUCCAGUUAAGCUUGAUUAAGAACCACACAACGAUCGGGCAUCUGGAAAUGAAGAGAAUAACGAUAAGCACCGGAAGGUCUAGAUGGAAGAUAAAUUGUAUAGAAGAAAUACUAUACUAUACUCCCUCUGCCACCCUCGAUAAACACACUAUAUAGUGACCACGUCAAAGGAUUGACUUGUGUGCAAUAACUUGACUAAGAUUAGCCCUACCUUAAGCUCCUACUUGAUAAAAUUAAAACUUAAUUUUUAUCUCAUGUCAUAGGGUGGGGCAGAAAACAAUAUCCACGUCUAUGUAGCAAACAAAAUUGUUGAACUGACAAAAGAUAACCAAACAUCAAACAGAAGUGUCUCCAGUUAAGAACCACCCCACGAUCAGACAUCUGGAAAUUGAAGAGUAUAUCUAUAAGCACGGGAAACUCGAGGUAGAAGAGAAAAUGUAGUAGAAUAAAAAUACUAUUAUGUACUCCCUUUGCCACCCUCGAUUAACACAAUAUCAAUGACUACAUCAAAGAUCUGUCGCGUCCAAAAACCAGACCAAGAUAGCCCCCACAUUAAGCUCCUACAGUGAUGGAAUCAAAACCUAUUUUGUAUCUCCUGUCACAGGGUAGGCUCAAAACAAUAUCCAAGUCUAUAUAACAACAAAAGAAAUAUAAUAGAGAGAUCAAAUGCAACCAAUUAUGAACCCAGAACUGCCUUCCAGUUAAGCUUGAUUAAGAACCAAACAACGAUCAGGCAUCUGGAAAUCGAAGAGAAUAACAAUAAGCACGGGAAAGUCAAGAUGGAAGAUAAAUUGUAGCAGAAUUAAUACAAUACUAUACUCCCUCUGACACCCUCGAUAAACAUUAUAUCAGUGACAGCAUCAAAAGUUGAUAGUCUCCAUAACUAGACCAAGAUUAGCCCCACCAUAAGUGCUUCUUUCACAACUUAAUUUUUAACCCCUGUCACAAGGUGAGGCAGAAAACAAUAUCCACGUCUACGUAACAAAUAAAAGAUUGUUGAAACUGACAAAAGAUAACCAAGCAUACCAGAAGUGCCUUCCAGUUAAGAACCACACAACAUCAGACAUCUGGAAAUUGAAGAGUAUAUCUAUAGCACGGGAAAUUCUAGGUAGAAGAGAAAAUGUAGUAGAAAAAAAAUACUAUUAUGUACUCCCUUUCCACCCCGAUUAAACAUAUCAAUGACCAUAAGAUUGUCGGUCCAAAAACCAGACCAAGACAGCCCCCACCUUAAGCUCCUACUUUGAUAGAAUCAGAACCUAUUUUGUAUCUCCUAUCACAGGGUGAGGCUGAAACCAACAUCGAGUCUAAAUAACAACAAAAGAACUACAAUAGAGAAAGCAAAGGUAACCAACUAUCAAACCCGAACUGCCGUCCAGUUAAGCUUGAUUAAGAACCACACAACGAUCGGGCAUCUGGAAAUGGAAGAGAAUAACGAUAAGCACCGGAAGGUCUAGAUGGAAGAUAAAUUGUAUUAGAAGAAAUACUAUCUAUACUCCCUCUGCCACCCUCGAUAAACACACUAUAUCAGUGACCACGUCAAAGGAUUGACUUGUGUGCAAUAACUUGACUAAGAUUAGCCCUACUUAAGCUCCUACUUUGAUAAAAUUAAAACUUAAUUUUUAUCUCAUGUCAUAGGGUGGGGCAGAAAACAAUAUCCACGUCUAUGUACAAACAAAAUUGUUGAAAUGACAAAAGAUAACCAAACAUCAAACCAGAAGUGUCUCCAGUUAAGAACCACCCAGAUCAGACAUACUGGAAAUUGAAGGUAUAUCUAUAAGACACGGAAAUUGGUAGAAGAGAAAAUUAAGUAGAAUAAAAACUAUUAUGUACUCCCUUUGCCACCCUCGAUUAACACAAUAUCAAUGACUCAUCAAAGAUCUGUCCGCGUACCAAAAACCAGACCAAGAU